GAAGAAAAGAGGUACAGAACACCCAGAGGUGCCCUCGAUUCCGUCUUGCACUUGCCCUUCUCCCACCGUCCAGCAAUAAAGCGAGAGAAACAAGUGCAGGAAACUGGCCGGCAGUCAUGGGAGAAGCCAAAAAGACAGGAGUUCAGUGGCAUGACCAGGGCUCACUGCAACCUUGAUCUGGGCUCAAGUGAUCCUCCUACCUCAGCUUCCUGAGUAGCUAGGACCACAGCCCUGGCUCCUGUGGCUAGAGCCCUGGUGCCCACAGCUCAACCUGGACCUGUCCACCCUUGAAGGGCUCAUGAUGCAGCAUCAGGGAGUCCCAGAUCGAGCCGCUGACACCUCCAAGUCGGCUGCAGCUGUGCAUCCGCUCAGACCACAAGACUCAAUGGAGGAUGCUGACCUCUCUUUGUUCUCCCAACGAGUACUAGGCAAGGAGGGAAGGAAG
rnacentral:lncRNA from 1 species